UACGAAGGGGGCUAGCGUGCUCGGAAUCACUGGGCGUAAAGGGUGCGUAGGCGGGUCUUAAGUCAGGGGUGAGAUCCUGGAGCUCAACUCCAGAACUGCCCUUGAUACUGAGGAUCUUGAGUUCGGGAGAGGUGAGUGGAACUGCGAGUGUAGAGGUGAAAUUCGUAGAUAUUCGCAAGAACACCAGUGGCGAAGGCGGCUCACUGGCCCGAUACUGACGCUGAGGCACGAAAGCGUGGGGAGCAAACAGG
rnacentral:rRNA from 1 species